rnacentral:lncRNA from 1 species
AGCACAAAUAAAUAAAACCCAAAAUAACAAAAAUAUUCAUAAAGUCCAAAUUACAAACAGGCCCAAUAUGGCCCAAAUCAGAAAAAACCUUGCAGCCCAAAAUAGCCCAAAGCUUAAACUGUUUCAGAAAAAAAAAAGAAACCGUAGGGCACCAUGUGCGCCGCACUGCUUCUUCGUGCCCUUGCAGCGCACUCGUCGCCCGAAGCAUGA